rnacentral:rRNA from 1 species
GAUAAGAGGUCCAGCCUGCCCAGUGAAUUUUUAACGGCCGCGGUAUCCUAACCGCGCGAAGGUAGCAUAAUCACUUGUUCUUUAAAUGGGGACUCGUAUCAACGGCAUCACGAGGGUUUUACUGUCUCCUCUUUUUGAUCAGUGAAAUUGAUCUUCCCGUGAAGAAGCGGGAAUACUUAUAUAAGACGAGAAGACCCCAUGGAGCUUUAAACCAAAUAGUAACUUAACCACAUAUCUCCUUAUAACUUUAAGCCUAUACUAUGAGGUUUUUGGUUGGGGUGACCGCGGAGUAAAACAUAUCCUCCACGACGGAAAGACUACAAUCUUUAUUUAAGAACCACAAUUCUAAAAAUUAGUAUACUAACGUUUACUGACCCGAUAAUCGAUCAACGGAACAAGUUACCCUGGGGAUAACAGCGCAAUCUACUUCAAGAGCCCAUAUCGACAAGUAGGCUUACGACCUCGAUGUUGGAUCAGGGUAUCCCAGUGGUGCAGCCA